GUUUUAAAAUUAAAUUGAGCAUUUUGAGUCUGUCAAAUAAAACAUUCUUGUUAUUUACUUGAUGAGAUAUAAUAAUGAAAGUAGGAAUUUAAAUCACCAAUAAAACAUCAAUAAUGAAAGUUUGUAAUUAUCUACUCAGAGGUUAUUUAAAGACAAAUUAGAUUCCAUUAAACAAUACUGCCACCUGAUCUGAUCUUUGACUCGCUGACC
rnacentral:lncRNA from 1 species